GCAUUUUAUAAAGUUACAUUCUUUGUGAAAUACUGAUUUAGUAUUAAGUUGAAAUUCCAACGUAAUCCGAAGAUACUGCAAGACAAGCUUGAGACAAAGUCUGAGCACCACCAUUAACGUUUGUCUAAUCAGAGCAGCUGUCACAAGUAGCGGCUGUCGGAUUCAGGUAUCAAUCAAUGGAGUCUCUCGUGGGAUCCUCCAUAAAC